rnacentral:lncRNA from 1 species
GGGUUUUUUUGGGGUUUCUUUGGGAUUUCUUUGGAAUUUUUUUGGGAUUUUUUUGGGAUUUUUUUUGAAUUAUUUUUAAAUUUUUUGGGGAUUUUUUGGGGGAUUUUUUGGGAUUUUUUGGGGAUUUUUUUGGGAUUUUUUUUAGAUUUCUUUGGGAUUUUUUGGGAUUUUUUUCAGGAUUUUUUGGAAUUUUUUUGGGGAUUUUUUGGGAUUUUUUGGGGUUUUUUGGGGAUUUUAUUUUGGAUUUUUUUGGGAUUUUUUGGGGGAUUUUUUGAGGAUUUUUUGGGAUUUCUUUGGGAUCUUUUUGGGAUUUUUUUUUUAUUUUUUUUGAAUUUUUGGGGGAUUUUUCGGGGAUUUUUUUGGGGAUUUUUUGAGGAUUUUUUGGGGAUUUUUUUGGGGAUUUUUUGGUGGAUUUUGGGGUGAGGAAAUGAGGAUUUUGGAGUGUGGGGGAGGGGCCAGGUGUGUCCAGGUGUGUCCCCAGGUGUGUCCAGGUGUCCCCAGGUGCGUUCCAGACCAGGUUCCAGAACGUUCUAGAGGUUCUAGACUCGGUUCUAGAUCGGGUUCUAGAUCGGGUUCUAGAACGUUCUAGGUACGUUCCAGAUCAGGUUCUAGAACGUUCUAGAUCGGGUUCUAGGUGUGCUCUAGGUACGUUCUAGAGGUUCUAGAUCACGUUCUAGAACGUUCUAGACUCGGUUCUAGACUCGGUUCUCGAUCGGGUUCCGGACUGUUCCAGAACCGGUUCCAGACUGGGUUCCAGAGCAGGUUCCAGACUGGGUCCCCAGGUGUGUCCAGGUGUGUCCCAGGUGUCCCCAGGUGUAUCUCAGGUGUCCCCAGGUGUAUCUCAGGUGUAUCUCAGGUGUCCCCAGGUGUAUCUCAGGUGUGUCCCCAGCUGUCCCCAGCUGUGUCCCAGGUGUGUCCCCAGCCCCCCCAGGUGUGUCCAGGUGUGUCCAGGUGUCCCCAGGUGUAUCUGAGGUGUCCCCAGGUGUGUCCCCAGGUGUUCCAGGUGUGUCCCCAGCUGUGUCAGGUGUAUCCAGGUGUAUCUCAGGUGUCCCCAGCUGUUCCAGGUGUCCCCAGGUGUGUCCCAGGUGUAUCUCAGGUGUAUCUCAGGUGUAUCCAGGUGUCCCCAGGUGUCCCCAGGUGUAUCUCAGGUGUGUCCCCAGCUGUCCCCAGGUGUCCCCAGGUGUCCCCAGGUGUCCCAGGUGUCCCCUGUCCCCGCAGGAAGAUCCAGGAGGAAUCUCUCCGCACGUACCUGUUCACCUACAGCAGCGUCUACGACUCCAUCAGGUGGAUUUGGGCUGAAAAACGGGGA